rnacentral:rRNA from 1 species
GACGAACGCUGGCGGCGUGCCUAACACAUGCAAGUCGAACGGGGUUAUUUCCUUCGGGAGAUAACUUAGUGGCGAACGGGUGAGUAACGCGUGAGGAACCUGCCUUUCAGUGGGGGACAACAGUUGGAAACGACUGCUAAUACCGCAUAAUGUAUCGAAGGGGCAUCCCUUUGAUACCAAAGCUUUAUGUGCUGAAAGAUGGCCUCGCGUCUGAUUAGAUAGUUGGUGGGGUAACGGCUCACCAAGUCAACGAUCAGUAGCCGGUCUGAGAGGAUGAACGGCCACAUUGGGACUGAGAUACGGCCCAGACUCCUACGGGAGGCAGCAGUGGGGAAUAUUGGGCAAUGGGGGAAACCCUGACCCAGCAACGCCGCGUGAAGGAAGAAGGCUUUCGGGUUGUAAACCUUUGUCCUUAGUGACGAAUAAAUGACGGUAGCUAAGGAGGAAGCCACGGCUAACUACGUG